UAAAUCAUUUCUUAAAUGGAACAUACACGCCUCGUCUAAUAACUAAAGUGAUUUGUUAUUAGACGAGGCGAGAUUUGUUUAAAACAUUAAAAUUUCGUC